CUGCAAAUGAAAAUAAAAACCACGGAAGAUGGACAUCUGAAAUUGAAAGAAACAUUAUGAAACAUUCAAUCACACCUUGAAUCAAUCUUUUGGAUGGCAGACUGAAAGCACUCUCCUUCAAACCCCUCCCUUGGAGAACACUGUGAAGUAAUUGAAGAAUUCUCAGGCUGAUUAACAGUUUACAAGUUUGCGAUAUGAUUGUACCUUCCAUCACCAUGACCAUUACUAUCACGAUACUAGUGAUAUGGUGGUUUAUCCUAUACUUCCUAGAAUUACUCAUUGAACCAACAGAGGCAAAACAGAUUAAAUGAGAUUUUGUUU